rnacentral:siRNA from 1 species
UAAAAUAGGUGAUUACAUACCACA